CCAAAGGCUCUUUUAAGAGCCCCUACGUGCACAACGAAAAGAGCUG
rfam:Manacus vitellinus contig46824, whole genome shotgun sequence.